GAUGAACGCUGGCGGCGUGCCUAAUACAUGCAAGUCGAACGAGUUCUGAUUAUUGAAAGGUGCUUGCAUCUUGAUUUAAUUUUGAACGAGUGGCGGACGGGUGAGUAACACGUGGGUAACCUGCCCUUAAGUGGGGGAUAACAUUUGGAAACAGAUGCUAAUACCGCAUAAAUCCAAGAACCGCAUGGUUCUUGGCUGAAAGAUGGCGUAAGCUAUCGCUUUUGGAUGGACCCGCGGCGUAUUAGCUAGUUGGUGAGGUAACGGCUCACCAAGGCAAUGAUACGUAGCCGAACUGAGAGGUUGAUCGGCCACAUUGGGACUGAGACACGGCCCAAACUCCUACGGGAGGCAGCAGUAGGGAAUCUUCCACAAUGGACGCAAGUCUGAUGGAGCAACGCCGCGUGAGUGAAGAAGGCUUUCGGGUCGUAAAACUCUGUUGUUGGAGAAGAAUGGUCGGCAGAGUAACU
rnacentral:rRNA from 1 species